rnacentral:lncRNA from 1 species
UUUUAAAUUCAAAAGGUGUCAUACAGAGUAUUCAAUAGAGUUUAAUAGAGUUCAAAGUAGCUGCUCACGGCAGCUUUCCUUUCUGUCAUUGGACGGUGCAGGAGUAUAAAUUGAAAUGGGAGUGUGUGUGCUUCACAUGUGCCUCCCAGUUCAAUUAGAAGGCACAUCACGCAAGGGGAGCUUCUGUGAACGUCAGGGCCUGUGGAAGACUAACACCAGGGAGAUCAUAAGUCACAAGGCAGAAAUGUGUGAUCAUCAAGAAAAAGAGCACAAGCACAGAAGACCACCUGGCUCAAAAGCUCCACAUGUGAAGCACCACCAUCAAAAUCAAGGCCAUCAUCGUCACAAUAAUAAACAAAGGUCGGAUGGCAACGAUAGUCAUGACACUCAUUCAACAGCAGAGGAGAGCAUUUUGAGUGAUCAUCAUACCAACCAUCAACAUCAGUCCGAAUCUCACCAUUACCACCACAAGCAAAACCAUCGUCAUGUUUCUCUUUCACAAACUUCCUCAAGUUCCUCAAGCCAUUCUUCUUCAUCCUCUUCAUCUUCAUCGACAUCCUCAUCUUCCUCCUUGUCCUCCUCCUCCUCCUCCUCCUCUUCUUCUUCCUCCUCCCCUUCCUCUUCCUCUUCCUCUUCUACAACAUCUUCCUCUUCUUCUAGUCUGUCUUCUCAGAACAGCAGCAACAGUGACACUUCAGAUAGCAAUCCUUUCAGGAAGCCACAGCAUUCACAAUCCUGGACCGAUAUCUCUGGAAAACACAAGUACUUUGAUGAAGGAGAUGACAUGGCUCCUUUGAUAAAUAAACCAGCUAAUUCAAAUGAGCUGCCCAACAAACAGAAACAAGAGAAAAGCAAGUCCUCUCGUUGUGGCCCCAAAAAUGGAAGCUCAAAAAGCCCUAAGAAAAUUACAAGAAGCUUUGAAAAUGAUGGAAGUUUCCGCAAAGCCAAAUCAAUGGAGGCUCUCACCACACCCAAAGACAAAGGAAAUGGAAAUGAGGAUGAAAAUGAAUCGGAGAAGAGGGAAAAUGAAGCCAGGAAGAAUUUAAUGAAAGAAAAAAUGAAGUUCUCUGCUUUUCUUAAUGAGAUUACUCGGCAAGUGCUCAGCCCAAUGAGGCUAACCACUCUUGGCGUGACAGAUGCGCAACGACCCUGCAGUCCAGGGCAGGCCUCUCUUAGAUCCAGGAAGGCAGACAGCAGGACUGACAAACCUAGACAGCAAAGUCGCCCCACCAGUGCAGACUCAAUUAGCUCCAGCAAAUAUUCACACUCUUCGCAGUUGUCUCAGUCUAAAUCUUUCCACGGUGAAAGUCGCUAUUUUGAAGAGUCAUCCCAUCACAUGCAUCAUAGGCCAAAAAGCUGCACAGAAUUCAGUUGUUUUAGAAGACGUCAUUCAUGGUCUCAAUCUCCUGAGCGUCACUCCCAUUCUUUUAAGCACUGCCAUAACCACCACAAAGGAGCCCAUGAGACUUCUAGUCACCAUCACCAUCAUCAUUACCAUGAAAAUAGCCCAAGUCAUCGCCAUCAUCACAGAAAGGACCACAGUCCUGUAUAUCCCCAUGGAGAUUCACACAGCCAUACUUACCACAACAAAGAUCACCACACUGCAUCACAUCACGAUCACCAUGGGCAACAUCGACAUAGAGAACCCUAUAGCCCAUCCCAUCAUCAUAGUAAUGCACACCAUCACCACCAUGGCAAGCACUACGGUCAUGUUCAUCACCAUCACCAUCAUCAUGUAGACCACAAUAGCCAAGGCCAUCACCAAGGAGACCAUGAUAGUCCAGACCAUCACCAUCAUCACAAAGACCACCAUAGUCCAGACCAUCACCAUCAUCACAAAGCCCACCAUAGUCCAGACCAUCACCAUCAUCACAAAGACCACCAUAGUCCAGACCAUCACCAUCAUCACAGAGAACACCAUAGCCCAGGUCACCACCAUCACCAUGGAGACAACAAUAGUCUAGAGGAUCACCAUCAUCGUGGAGACCACCACAGUCCAGACCAUCACCAUCAUCAUGGAGACCACCACAGUCCAGACCAUCACCAUCAUCAUGGAGAUCGCCAUAGCCAAGGCCAUCACCAUCACCAUGGGGGCCACCAUAGUCCAAACCAUCACCAUGACCAUCACCAUGGGGACCACAAUAGCCCAGAACACCACCAUCAUCAUGACCACCACAGUCCAGUGCAUCAGCAUCAUGGAGACCACCACAAUCUGGGGCAUCCCCAUCAUCAUCAUGGAGACCACCACAGUCAAGAUCAUCAUCACCAUCAUCAUAGAGAUCACCACCUUUCAGACCAUCAUCGUCAUGAUGGAGACCAUCACAGUCCAGACCAUCACUAUCGUCACCGUGACCAUCAUAGUUCGAACAUUCACCAUCAACAUGACCACCACAGUCUAGAUCAUCAUCAUCAUGAUGACCAUCAUAGUUCAGGCCAUCAUCACCAUGAAGAUCAACAUAGGGAAUCUCAUCACCAUCAUGGAGACCAACACAAUCCAGGCCAUUGCGUACAACAUGGAGACCACUACAGAUCAGGUCAUCACCACCAUGAAUCACAUCCCAACCAGCACCACUCAAGAAACAGUGAUCUUGACCAUGAUGACCACCACACUCAUUUGAAGGGGCAUUCUGCUGGCAGUCCACCGGCACACGGGAAGACAGAGUCUCUUUCCAUUAAACCAGAGUCUUCCGGGACAACAGCAAGCAAGCCCAGCAGCCACGAAGAGGAACGAACAAGUUUCAUUGGUCCAUCAUUACAUCAAGAGAAGAAACAGGAGCUGGGUAGAAUCAUGAUAAUACAGGAACAAAAUGAAGGUCUGCACCACAGUUUGCUGAAGACAGCUGUGAGGAUGGAGUGUUUGGGAGAGGAAUUCAUGAGUAGCCAAAAGCUGUUGGAGGCAGAACUUCAGAGGACACGCACAGAGCUCAGCAACCUCACGGAGAGGUUUAAGAGACUACAUGAUAACUGCUCCUCCACACAGCAGACUAAUAAUGUUCUGGAGCAAAAGCUUCACUCAGUGACUCAAAAUAUGGAAGAAGAACGACAAAGGUUGAACCGUCGUAUUUCGGAGCUGACGCAGCAGCUUGGUAAUGUGAAAUUUGCCAACUCUGGCGAAGUGUUCAGUGUGACUUCUGCGAUACACAAAAACAACCAUCAUUUUCAGUCAGAUGAUACCAUCAAUCAGGUGGUUCUCCCAAUCGCUCCUCCUCCAGUUCAGUUUAUGGACAACGAUAAUUAUGGAAAGGUUAAAGCUGCUGAGCAGGAGCAACCUCUAGGGUCAGUCCCAGAGGAGGAGGAAUCUGACUGGUCUGAAAUGGGAGAAGAGACCCCACGGCUUAUACUGACAGGAUCAAGCAGGGGUCAGACCUGGAGACACCGGGAGGCAGACCUGGACAGAGACAGCGAGUCAGGAAGUGAGGAAAUUCCCAGACAACACUCUCCACGCCCACUGCAAAUACCUCAUCUUCAGUUCACCUCCCACAGUGACAAUUUACCCGCACCACAAACUAGUUCUCGCUCUUCUGGCAUGAAGAAUCUGUCUGAUGGCAUGACAGGUGAGGGAAGUUACAGGUCCUCUAGUCCAAACCACGGAUCUGCCAUUCUUAUCCGGUCAGCAAGCCUGGAGGAAAUUCCUCUGGCAUGCCAUCACAUGCAAAAAGAGCUGAGAGGCACAGAGGCCAUGAUGGACCUCCGCCAUCGAGGGAAUGAAGCUACUGAGGAUUUAGAUAAUGAGAUCAUUCAUCAUUGGAACACAAGCAACCACAGGGAUAUGAUUAUUGGGAGGCCAAUUGAUAGCAGUAUGUCAGUGGCAGAUAGCAGCUUGGCCAGCCUGCAGUCAGCCGAGCGGAUGCUAAACCACUUCAUAUGUGAUUCAUACACUACAGAGGGAAGAGUGCAGGACAGGGCUGAAGUACAUGGCUGGAUGGGAGGGAUUCCAGAUGAGGUGCUGAAAGGAGAGCGAACAAAGCUGUGA